CCAUAUCACGUUGAACCACCAGUUCCCGUACUAUAAUGGAAGUUAAGCAACGUUGAGCUUGGUCAGUACCUAGAUAUGUGACCGCUUGGGAAUACCAGAUGCUGUAAGC